rnacentral:rRNA from 1 species
AUUGAACGCUGGCGGCAGGCCUAACACAUGCAAGUCGAGCGGAUGAGGGUAGCUUGCUAUCUGAUUCAGCGGCGGACGGGUGAGUAAUGCCUAGGAAUCUGCCUGGUAGUGGGGGACAACGUGUCGAAAGGAACGCUAAUACCGCAUACGUCCUACGGGAGAAAGCAGGGGACCUUCGGGCCUCGCGCUAUCAGAUGAGCCUAGGUCGGAUUAGCUAGUUGGUGGGGUGAUGGCUCACCAAGGCGACGAGCCGUAACUGGUCUGAGAGGAUGAUCAGUCACACUGGAACUGAGACACGGUCCAGACUCCUACGGGAGGCAGCAGUGGGGAAUAUUGGACAAUGGGCGAAAGCCUGGUCCAGCCAUGCCGCGUGUGUGAAGAAGGUCUUCGGAUUGUAAAGCACUUUAAGUUGGGAGGAAGGGCAGUAAGUUAAUACCUUGCUGUUUUGACGUUACCGACAGAAUAAGCACCGGCUAACUCUGUGCCAGCAGCCGCCGUAAGAC